CAGGCUCACCCCACGGUGCCUGGCAGCUGGGACACAGCCACCAUGGCCUUUACUUCCGACAGAGAUAAGGCCAGGGCUCUGGAAGACAACGAGAUGGGAGAGAGGGCAGACUCAAAAGGAGGCCAGCAUCCCUAGCUGCAAAUACAAAGGACAACCUAUCAUGAAAGCAAGACUGUGAAUUUAGCAUCCUUUCCAACUUUUCAAUUUUACAUGCUGAAGUCCCCCAGGAGCAGGAUGAUGGUAUCUUCUAAACUUGGAAUGUGCAUCAAGCACUAAUGAGCCAUAAUAAUACAUAUUUUGCAUAUUUUCCUUGGAUUUAUUUCUUAUGCAUGCCUGUAUACUUUAAAAUAAGAUGCUGAUAUGAAAAAUGAAUCCACAUUGAAGGUAAUUAUGAGAGGUUUUUAAACUUUAAUCCUACACAGACAGAUUCAAAAGAGAUUUCUGUCUGCAGUAUUGUCUUUACCUAGACUGUAGGCUCAAAUUUCACAUGCACUCUUGUCAUUUAUGUUAAUGAAAUCCUUUCUUACACUUUUCUGCUCUAAAUAUAUAUGCAUAAUAAACUAUUGAAAUAUCAGUAAUUUUAAUUUAAUGGUGCAGAUUAGCUAAUUUUAGCUAGACAAUGGCUUUAUUUACCCCACUUCUGAGAAGGUGAAAAACAAAUCUCAGACUUCAGGGUACAUUCCUUGAAAUUCUAGUUCCUUCAGUCAAAUAAUUAAGUAUCACAAUAAAGAAGAAGAAAAAAUAUUUAUAAAUAUGUGGUAAGUUUAUGAUUGUGAUAUCAGACUGCUUGGAGCAGUCAGAGCUAAGGUUUGGAACAGUCUCCCCAAGUAAAAACAUCUGCUGCAGUUAUCAGACCUUCAGUCACUGGUCUUGCCAUUCUAUUGGAGCAAAAGCAGUCUCUGUGAAAAACAAUAAAGUACUGGCUGUACAUUUGCAAGUUAGGAAUCUCAGAGUGAAAGGAAAUGAACUUCAGAGUUUCGGAGGGCAACUUAGAUUCUCUUUAAAGCCCCUCUGCAAACUUUUAAACUCUUCUCACAUAUAGGAGAUCCUAUAAUGUGCUAGAAUACAGUGAAUGGACAUCUGUGAAGAAUAUUUAUCAGCAUGUUAAUAGAAUACAUAUAUAUCAACUGAUGUAUUUAGGCAAGAAAGGGUAAUGAAUGUGUAAACGUUACUUCCUGCCAUUUCAUAGUUAUUUUAAACUUUGUCAUCACAUAGUUCUAUUCUCCGCUGGAAAGAAAAUAACGUAAUUAUUAAAGCCCUUUCAGAUCUUGUUAGGAUCUUUAAAAUGUCACUGUAAAGGUUGUAAAUAGGCUGCCAAUAUUUUUGACUGGUGGAUGCAGUGCUGUGCAUCUUUGUUGCAGUCUGUAGUUUUACGGUUCCUCUAUGUCUAUGUUCAGUAGAAAUUCAUAACUUUGGAUAUAUUUACUCUGACUUGAGCAAAAAAUACCUACCAUUUUAAUCAGAGAACUACUCUGUUCUUCCUUGUUGUAUACAAGUGAAUGUUUUCAAGGCUAGCAGUAAAAUAGAGUAGCAGCAGAUACUCCCUUUGUUAUUUGUCUGUUCUACCUGUGAAGGCAGAAAAUGCCUACUCAUACAGAAAAAUAGUUGCAGUUUUAAAGAGUAGUUCAGAUGUAUGAUGCUAAAAGUGUCACAGUUUUUCCAUAGCAAAUUGUUUGUUGUUUUCUAGAUUUCUUUAUUAUUAUUAUUGUACUGCCUGGUUUUAGUACUGUAGACUAAAAUAUAUUAAAAAAAAAAAAAAAAGGACCAAUAAGAAUUUUCUCAAAUUUAGUUUGCUUCUACAAAACAUUAACAAACAAACACUAUGGCAGUAGUGACUAAUCUAGUAGGUCUUCUUACAUUCUGUCUCAUAAUGGUAAUUUUCUAUUUUUUACUCUUCUGUCUUUUAUUUCUCCACCUAGGUUCAAGACAUCCAUAUUAUUCACAGCACCUCUGUGCUGCUAAACUUUUCAGAAGAUAUCAGAAAUGAGAGAUGCCUUCUUGGACAUAUCUGUGAUAAGCUAAUGUCUAGAUCUAAAGUACCAUCAAAUAAAUAGUAUUGGUCAGAUGUCUAAAAUUCCAGCAUAACAAUAUAUAUGUGAAGCAGCUGUGCAAUGUUUGAUGUUAGCUAUGUACCAAAUUUAAUUAGAUAUUUCUAUUUCUAGAGUAAAAUUGAUAUAGACUGAGCAACUGGGAAGGAUUCUUUGUCAGUUAGAGCCUGGCUCUGCUUCUCAGCACACAAAGCAAGAAAACCAUCUGUGAAGGGGCUCUGAAACAUGGGAUCUAGCCAAAGAACAGCAGCUGGAGAUCAGGAAAUUGCUUGCCAUGGAAUACAGAGGCAACACUUGAAGACAUAGCUUUAAGUCUCAAAAUGUAAGAUAAAUUUAAGAAAGUGAAGGUCCGGACCAAAAAAAAAAAAAAAAAAAAAAGCCUAAUUUUGCAGAGAUGGCAGACUAAGGUAUGACAUACUCCUACUCAAAACAACUGUACAUUCUUUGACUUCUUCCUUCCUGAUGGCCAAGAUAAGAUUUAUUUAACAACUACAAAAAUAUAUGAAGACUGCUGUGGUUUAUCUUUUGACAGUUCAGCUGAGAUGUUCUGGACUAGGUGGAUGAAAGUUGGUCCCUAACAUUCUACUCUAAGUUUUAAAUUUACUGGAUAACCACAAGAAAAAACAACAGGUUAAUUUCACAUGCUUCAGUACCUUAAGAGCUUUUCUGUCUAUCUAGAAAUAUUCCUUUAUUUGUUUGAUUUAUAUAUUUGCAAAGUUCUUCUCCUUCGUUAAUUACAAAAGGCAACAAAGAGUAAAAGGAGAAAUCUUAAAAUAUACCUAAAUAAGAAAAGAUACAUAUCUUGGAAAAUAAGUAUAUCAGAUCAUAACAAUUUACUGAUUUUUUUUUUUUUUAAUUUUUAAUCUGCAUAAUGUAAUGAAAUUAAAUCCUUUGCUUUUCUUGGCACAAGACCCAUUGGAAAAAAUCACGUUAUAUGUUGAAGUGUUCUUUUAUUUUUUUUACAAGAUAUGAAACGGGAAGGGUGGAGGGGGGAACAAAAUUUCUUCAGAGGGAAUAGCAGAGCUUAAAAACUAAAGCCAAACAAAAAAGAUUUCCAGACCAGCAACAUCCUCUGGCUGUUUGAUAAAAAGCCUGAACAGCUACACAAGGUCAAAAUAGCGUGGUAGGAAGGGAUUUACUUUUUCUGCACAUAAAAUUGGAUUUUUAAGUUCAAGGUCUAGAUUUCUUUCUUUUACAUCUGCAGUACCUCUGGCAAAGAAAACAACCUGUUCUCUUUCACAUUUUAUAUUUAUAUGACCAUGAACAUACUAUUACGUUUCAAUAAACUCGUGUUUACAAGCAGGUAGUAAAAUGUUGAGAAAAUCAUGCUAAUAACUGUACAGAUAUCAGGUUCUGUUUUAAAUCUUUAGUUAUUACAGCUUGCUGUGGAAACACAGCAGUUUAAGCACUGAGUAUUAAAGAGUUUGUGGAGUGCUAUAAAUUUCAGAUGCAUUUAUGUUAUAUGGUACUGUGCAAAUCAUAAUCUGAAAGUCAGUUUCAUUUGUGCAAUGUGUGCUUUAAUAGAAGAAAAACAGUUCAAGCAUGUGUGCUUUCCAUUUUUACAAGGAUCUUAAAAGAUUAUUUAAGUUGAAGGAAAAGCAGCUUCGAAUGAAAUUUGAGCUACUACCUGAAGAAAAGAUGGCAAGGAAUAACUGAAAUGAUAAAGCACUUAGUAAAAUUCUAACUUUCUCUGUUUUAUGAGCAAUUAAAAAUUUUCUCUAACAUUCCAUUGAGGGGCAGGGAAGACGACAAAAUUACCUUAUGAGCAAUUCUAUCAUGCAAAUCACUUAAUCUGAUUCCGUGUUAUGGUUUGAUUCCAGUCAGUUCUCAACUACUGAUUAUUUUGAUACAUAACUACAUUAACAAGCAGGACAGCUUUGUUCCUUGGGCUGCGUGGAAGUGGAGCAUCUUUCUUGGUUUGCCCACAAAUAAGGAAAAAACAGAAAGGGAAAAAAAAAAAAAAAGGAAAAGGAAAAAGUGCAAAUGGGAAAAGAAGCAAACGCAGCGUAACAGUGCAAAGCUGUAACAGUCCUGGAGGAAACUCUCCAGAGAAAACAAACAAGUGGGCAGUACAGAAUGAGGGAACGCAAAACACCCUCAGUCACAGAGAUUUGAGAAGACAUAUUCUAUUCUAUUCUAUUCUAUUCUAUUCUAUUCUAUUCUAUUCUAUUCUAUUCUAACCCCAACACAGGGUUCUGCUGACCUUAGGAGGCUGCAAAGCAUUAGCAGUUUGGGGGUGCCUGCCAUAGUUUAUAUUACUGUGUUGCUAAAGUUUACCAGAACUAAAUGCUGGCAAACAUAUCCAUCAUAACCGUACGCAAUGUUACUGUGAGCAAUUGCAGUUGUAUCUUGCAGUGCUCAUGUCAUUAAAAGACUGCUGCCAUAGGUACACAUUUACCUAAUCACAGUCACUUUCUUCCCAGGAUAAUGCCACUCUUGAGCAUCUUUUUGCAAAUUUCUACUUGUAUUGGAAGUUCUUCAGCUAGCAAUUUCAAGAAAAAAGAAACCUGUUUAUAUUCAUCAUCUUCAGUAAUUUGUAAAAGGACCUACUUUCACCUGGACCUUGAAUGUUGCCUUAGUUACAGAAGAUGGCCAAAAUAAGAGAAUCUAAAAUAAAAUAUAGGUUGGAAAACUUCAGAGGGAAGCUGAUUUAUUUCUUUUUAAAUAGUGUCUAUGUCUCUUAAAUAAGAAAGAAUAACACAGCACUCACAGUAGAGACCAGUCUUACUGUUAGGUCUGGAAUAGGACACAGAAAUAUUUAUUUUGUCCUGUACAAGACUUCUGGUGAUUGGGGAUUAAGAGAUAAAUUCUAUCCAAAUACACUGUAGAAGUUAAUACCCUCCCCACGUUCCUUGCCACAGCCUACCAUCAUCACAAGAGUCAGGAGAAACUGUUAGUAACAGAGAAUCUGAGCUAAGACAAUACACAUGUUGUCUCCUGCUAAUAUUGCUGGGAGGCAGCAAUCUCUUGAGAAAGAAUACAGAUCUGGGUUUUAAAACCUAAGCUACAAUAACAAGAGCUGCCGGUGGUUGUAAAUAGCAGCAAGUAAACAUAGUGAUUCAAGAGUCAUUCUGUACUAGUAAAUGAGUAUUAAAUACAUUAAAUACACUGUAUUAUAUGAAUAACUGUAUGUUAGUCUAAAUAUAUGGCAUUAAUUUAACAAAGGAUUAGUUCCCACGAGUAGAAAAGAAUGCAACACCUUCAGAUAACUACCUAUCUAGCAACACUUGAGAGGCAAUACAAGGAUUGACCUCUUGUUGAACUCACCAGCCCACGUCAAAGAGGAAAGUCAUAGAGAAAAUGGGAAGGACAAAGGAUCUGAAACUGUUUUAAAACUCUAAAAGCACUUACUCUUCAGAAAUUGCACUCAGAUAAAUAAGAUGCCUUAUUUUUUAUAAAGAAAUCAAAAUUCCUAGGUUCCAAGAAAAGGGGGAAAGACACAAGUAAAAUAAUUAUCAACAUAGUUAUUUCAUCUGUUAUAAGCUACACUUUGUGGACUGUGGUCCCGCUAUUAAACAGUACUUUGAAAAGCCCUCCUGAUCACCAUUUUUGUCACUGGUCACAAAGCAGCAGGAGUUUGAACUGAUCCAGGGAUUUCACAAAACAAAUUGUCAUGGGAAUUACAAGUGGAAUUGCAUUCCGCUUCAGAAUCGGAGAUAGCUCAGACCUGAUCCCUACUGAGGUGUGAUCAAAAAAAGCAACACAAGAAAAUAUAUCCCUGUAGUCAAAAUGACAAGUCAAUAAAUACUGUUUUGAUAGUGCAUUCUUGUUAGUACUACAACAGUUAAAAUUGCUUGUCAGAACAUCCUGCACUACACAUGGUAACAUUCCUCAUGUUUGCUUUAACCUGAAGACUAGGGCUGGUCAUGGUCUUCAUACUAGAGUUAUCAUUGUUCUGUGUAUUCUGGGAGAUACAUAGAGUAUCACAUUUUUCCAUAAUGUACUUGGUACGUUGCUCUUUGAAAAUCAUCUAGAAAGCAUAAAACUAUUCCUGUGUUCUCAAGCAAAUGUAUCACUCCAGCAAUAGUAAAUAACACAACACAUAGCUCAGGGAAUUCAAUUUCAAUUGGAUUCAAUCUCCUAAUUAUUUUGCAUAAUUUCUUGAUGUGAAACUUCAAUACAAGUAGUCAGGGACCUUAAAAUCUUUGUAGUAAGUAGCAGGGUUAUAAGUCUCAUGUGGUUAUUUCUAGUAUUCUUUGAGAAAGAAAGAAAGAAAGAAAGAAAGAAAGAAAGAAAGAAAGAAAGAAAGAAAGAAAGAAAGAAAGAAAGAAAGAAAGAAAGAAAGAAGAAAGAAAGAAAGAAAGAAGAAAGAAAGAAAGAAAGAAAGAAAGAAAGAAAGAAAGAAAGAAAGAAAGAAAGAAAGAAAGAAAGAAAGAAAGAAAGAAAGAAAGAAAGAAAGAAAGAAAGAAAGAAAGAAAGAAAGAAAGAAAGAAAGAAAGAAAGAAAGAAAGAAAGAAAGAAAGAAAGAAAUAUCACCAUGACAGGCGAGCUAAAGUAUUUGACAUAGCAUUAUAUCUGACCAAAAUCCAACCACAUUUCUAGCUACUGAUCAAGAAGAAAUUCUAUUCUCCUCUGCUUCACAGACAUAUAAUAUUUAUAAUAUAAUGAUAUAUAAUAGUCAUCAUCUAUUUUAGAUUGUUUUUAUAUGGGUAACAGAUAUUAGAAUGCAGCCACUACUUCAAUUCAAACUAAGUCAUGGUAUCUCUGCCUGCGGUAAAAUGCAACAUGCUUUAGGGUGCCAGGAGAGGAAUACCUAAAUUGAACAUUAGAUAUAACAGACUUUCAUAUCAUGUAAUUAAAAAUAUACUGUCAUUGUUUUUGGAGACGUUCUCCUGUUGGAUGCCUUUGUUUUAGAGUAUUUCUGGUAAUUAACACACUGUGACAGACCAUGGAAACUAGGCCAAAAUUUUUAAAAAAAUUCUCAUCCAGAGGCUUGGUGUUUAAAGUGGCUAGGCUUGACAACAAAAAGACUCCUUACCAGACUGCAGAUAAACAAGAGCAGACUUAGAAAUGCUUUUUUCUUUUCUCUCAUCCAGCAGUGAUCUAACUCCCAGCACUCAGUGCACAGUAGAAACUCACUUUCUCCUUUCCCAGGAGAGACUUUGUUUUUUCUCUUUGUUCAACACAUGAAAAAAAAUAAAAAAUCAGGAAGAAAUUUCUUUUAGUUCUAUUUCAGCUGUGGUUGGUCCAGUAGGAAAAUUAACCAACACGCUUGUAAAAGCUGUAAAAACUCCCCUGAUCAACAUAGGGAAGUUAGGCUGUAGUCAUGCCUAUACCUAGCAUCAUUUCUGCUUAUCCAACGAGAGCUUAAUGCAAGAGGCAGUAGAAUGCAACAGGAAACAGAUUGCCUGUUUUCUAUAAGAAUUUUCCUCCUGCUAGGACAGCACAUGAAGCCAUGCCCUUGGCCUAGAGUUUGUGUUCUUCUGCUGUGCUGCAGCCCCCUGAGCCACUAUGUAACCUCAGUGUAAGUCAUCAUUGUCCUUUUGCUUUUUUCAAGUGUAGUGAAUUUGGACAAUCAGAUACUCCUGACAAUACCCAGAACUCCUUCUUCUUCAAUCGUAACCUGAUCUGAGAAGUAUCAGAACAGUCUGGGAGUUCUGGAAGUGUAUGGUUGGGAGAAAAUUCCAGAAUUGCCUCACCUGAAAUAUGGCUAAAAUGCAAAGUUUUCUGACUAAAGUAAAUUAUCUCAAGGUCAAAUAAGGGUCCUAAGAAAAGAGCCCCUUACACUCUCAAAGCCCACAGUAGUCUAUGAUGUCUCCUUGAGCUGGGAUACCUCUGAGGGUAGGCUUUUUUUUGAGGUGCCUUUUGAAGUAGAAGAGUCCUUUAUAGGAUAAUAUCCCAUCAUCCACUGAGGGCCAGUGACGAGGGGGGAGAGUAGUUCACCAAAUGGGAGAAGUUCCUUGCAUGCAUGACUAAGUUUAGAAAUCUCCCCUUAGAAUAUCUUGUGUGUUAAGUUUCAGGUGAACCUUGCUAUUCUUAAAACUUUAAGUCACUGUAUUUGAUUGUAGUAAGCUCCAUUGAAUCAUUCUGUUAAAAUAGCUAUUGAUUGAGUUCUGAUUAAGUGCUACUAAGAAUCAUACAAUUCUAACCCUGUGUCAUGGUUUUAUGAUUUUUGAUUACUGGUAUUCCACAUCAUAACAUCACAUAGUGCACUGGGAGUUAAAGAGUUAAUGUUCCAGUUCCAGGUGCCUGUCUGGAAGAGAAGAACUACAUACCCCAGGGGGCUUUGCAGUCAGAGAGGAGAUAUAACCUCUGGCAAGGUCACCUGAUGGCCCUUUUUUUUCCUUAGUCUCUCCUCCCUGUUGCUCAUCCUGACCGCACACAUCACCUCAGCACAACUGUAAGGCCUACAGCUUUCAGAUACUCUCUCAUUAUAUUUGAUUUAUUUGCUUCAGUUCUAAUUAUAUUGUAUUAUAGUGUGUUAUCUUGCAUUCCAAUACCUUAUUUAGAAAAUUAGCUUGUUUCUUCUCAGAUCGCUCAGAUCGUUGCUGCUGUUUUCAAUUAUUUUGGGGUCCCCUGUUUCCCUUUCCUGAAGGCAUGGAUUUUGCAAAAUCCCUCCACCCCACUAGUCACAGAACCGGGCUGAACCAGCCUGUAAACUGUUGACACCCUGUGAUAUACUGUAAAAGUAUUAAUAAACCCAAAAUCACUGCUAAAACUAGAAUUAUGUUCAAUCAAUCCACCACACCUGGAAAGCCAAAAUAUACAUACAUUUUAAAUUAAAUCCUUUGAGAAUGAAGAAAGAAUUGAACCUGGCUUUCAGUAUAUAAGAUACAGAUGAGUACAGUAGAAUUAUUCUAUUACAUUGCUUUGUGAAGAACCCAGAUGGAGAGGCGUAUACUCAUUAUUCUCUGAGAACACCAGUAGAUAGGCAUGGACUAUAGACAUGGAUAUGCUUUUCUCCUGGACCCCAGGUACCAAUAUUUCUUACCUGAAAAGAACCAAUGCUAUUCAGGAAACUUUUCAGUGAAACUGAGAUUGUGUGAUGAAGAGAUUGAAAGGUUUGGUCCAGGUUAGCAAUAGGGCACAAAUCCCUGUCACUCUUUGCCAUUCAUUGUAAGAGGAUGUUGAUCCAGCCAUGAACUGAAUGUCGAUCCAUUCUUGAAUAAGAGUGGGAAAAUUUUAAUAAACCACAGUUCAUUAAAAAUACUGACUCUCAUUACUAUGUUGGUGCUAUAAAGGUAUUAUCAAAUGAAAUAGUAACAAGAAACAUUAUUUCUCAUCAGAAUCAUUAGACUACAGAUUCUCUAGGCUUAGAUCAUAGAAUCAUAGGAUGAUUUGAGUUGAAAGAGACCUUAAAGACCAUCUUGUUUCAACCUUCUGCAAUGGCAAGGGACACCUUCCAGUAUAUCAGGUUACCCAAAGCCCCAUCCAGCCUAACCUUGAACACUCCCAGGGUUAAGGCAUUCACAGCCUCUGUAUGCAAACUGUUCCAGUGCCUCACCACCCUCAUAUUGAAGAAUUUCUUUCCAAUGUCUAAUCUAAAACUACUCUCCCUAGAUUAAAAGCUAUUCCCUCUUGUCCUAUCACUUAAUGCCUUUGUAAAGAGUUUCUCUCUGGCUUUCUUGUAGUCCCCUGUUUUAGAUACUGGAAUGUCAUUAUCAGGUCUCCCCCAAGCCUUUUUUUCUCCAGGAUGAACAGCCCCAGCUCUCACCCUGUCUAGAUUUGAAUCCAAACCAUGUUACUAAGUCCCUGCCUAGAGGAGAACAGAUUUAGAUUUUUUUUCCCCAGGAAAUUAAAAAGAUUAACAGAGUUUCAGUCAUAAAUCUAGCCUCAUACUUGGUAACAGAACUAUAGGAUAUGUUUAAAGUGUUCAGAUUCAGAAAACUUAACAUACUCUUAAGCAAACUCCCAUCUUUAAAAAUAGAGUAAAUCUUUAACUGAUAUCUUCAUAAAUCUCACAUGUUCAUAUUUGUGUUUUUAUUUGGGAUUGAAAACACUGAUGAAACCAUAUAGAGCUCUAACUGAAAAUUACCACUUACCUUUGGCAGCAGGACUGCAUCUGCAGACUAUGCUGAAAUGCUGAUGUACAUGUCCCUGACUCAUCCCAUUUAAAAAUAAUACUGAGGGUUCUGGCAGAUGUCUUGUAGCAGCUUCCAGUGGUUAUUACAAUAUAAAGAAAAAGAAACAUUUUACAUCCCAGAUUCAUGAAUCCUUCUGAGGCAUGAUGUUUUAAAGCUGGGCUGGUAGACCUGAAGUCAUGAUGAUCAGCAAAGUACAGGAACUGAGAGUCUGUGUUGAAGAAAGCCAUUGGAUCAAGACUUUCAGAGAUUGAACUGUCUUCGUAUUUAAAAAAGUGUCCACCUUAAAGCCAAGAUUAAGGUCUCGGGCAGGGCCGGAUUCAAAGGAUUCAGUGGAUACAUAUCAUUCUGGGCUGGUUGUGUGUUACAGAUAAAAGUUUAUUUGCCAUGAAGACAGUAGAUUUUUCUGGGCAGAACACACAGCCAGAAAAGAUGAGCAGAUAUUGAAUUUCCUUAUUGGUUUUGUUAGUUAAAAAAGAAAAUUGGAUUGGUUACACCCAUAUGGUAUUUUGCAUAACGUAUUUAUAAUGUAAUUAUAUUUAUUAAUGAUAUAUGAAUAUUGCUAUUAAGGUCCAUAUUUACAGAUUAAAAAAAAUCUUCAUUAAGUUAUCUUUCAAAGAAAAUCCCCAUGAAUAAUCUCAAAGUCAAAAAUGUGCCCAUGGAAACAAGUGAGAUAUUAUUUCACCCUUGUAUUUCUUCUCAUCCAUAUAUACACCUUUUCAAACAACAUGUGUCAUGUCUGCACUCAGCAGUGACGCGGAAACCAGAGGCUAAAAGCUCUGGAAUAAGAAACAGCCUGUGUUAGCAAAUAGCCCUGAAACUAGUACAAAGGGAGAGUGCUCCCAAAUGCAAACUUCUGCAUCAGAAUUGUGUGCUGCACCAUUAAUGGCCCUGAUCAGCAUUAACUGUGGCUCUGCUCUAAGGUGUAAACCUCAAAUGGCAAGGCAAACAAUGCCCUGAAGACUUCAUAACACUGAGAGGUCAACUGGUCAGCACAGCAAUAAAGGACACAUAGUAAGUUACAAAUACAGAGCAGUGAAACGUGACUGUGUUUCUUUUCGUCAGUCCUUUCCUUUACCAGAGGCAUCUAAAGGUAAUGCAAAAGCAAUUGAAAACAAAAUAAUCAAGAGAUCACUCUGGCAAUCUUGAGGUAAGAUCACUGUUUCCAAUUAUUUUCCUCACAGUAAAACUGGGACAAGGAGAGAGGGUUUGCAUAGGCUUUAUUUACCAGACCUGCUGUUCAAUACAGUCCUGGUGGAAGGAAUUAUUGCUAGCAGAGCAUAUCACAGCCACCCAGCUAAGUACACCUAUGCUGCAAGUUCAGUACAGACCAAAUCAAGGACUGAAGAAGAGCCAAGCUACCUUUUCUGAUGAGCUGUAUUUUAUGCUCCUCAACUGCAAUCUACUAGCUCCACAGUCCAAAUUCCAGUAUGUACCAACAUUAUCUGCCAAGUGCUAGAAAAGUUUAGAACAGCUGAGGAAAAGCUCAAACAGUGAACAGCACUAGGUAUUAGUUACACAAGCCUGAUAUUCCUUCAUUGCUGAGCACCAAAAGAUCCCAGUUGUUGGCAGCCAGAGUUUUUUAUUUCUUUUCAUAGAAAAUGGUUGACAGUAAUUCUACCUACAGCUAAGCUGCUUCAGGAAUAAGUACCAAAAGGAGAUGAAUGGCACACAGACUUCGAGCUGGAAGCUGAGGUGAGCUAUAUAGAACAGAAAGAAGAUAUUGAAGGUCAUGCUCUAUGGUUAUCAGUACGCUUUCUGAAUAGCAACACAGAAAUAGAAAAAAUCAUUUGAAAUCAAGAUUUCUUUAAAACAGGAAAGAGGAACAGUGAGGCACUUUUAUAUCUUGGUAUCACUCUAAUAAAUUCUACUGCAACAUACAAAAAGAAACAUUAAGAUGCAAUUCUACUUUGAAUGUAUGCAUAUAAUUGGCUCAAAUAUUAUCCAUAGUAAAACCAAGAGGAAACACUGACAUUAGUAUGACCAAUAUUUCAUACAGCAUGUGCUAAAUAGGUAACAUACUCACUUGACCAAAUAUGUAUGUGAAUAUUGUAACAUCACGGUGAAUUCUUGCAUAUUAAUCUUAUAUUGUUGAAUCCUUGCAUAUUAAUCUUAUAUUGUUAUCCUUCUAGGUUUUUUGUUUGUUUGUUUGUUUGUUUUUGUGGGUUUUCCUUUUGUGUUUUUGUUAGUUUUCUGUUCUUUUUUUAUUAUUAUUAUUCUUAAGAUCAUGCCAUUUCUCAUUACCAGAAAUUUGAAUACUCUUAUGAUUUCGAUUAAAAUCUUCUUAGAAGAAAUAAAUAGGAUGCAGUAGGCUGAAGAACUAUAGAAACUAGUGUUCAUUAUUUUUCUUGCUUUGUAUUCUGAUAAGGUGAUUGAAUGACCCCAAAGCUGAAAUGCCAUAAUUGGUUGACAAAAAGAGGCAAUAAUUAAGGAGUAUCUACCUCCCAUUUACCCAGGAAGGGGACAAAGAAUAUAUUCUUUUCUCAUAUGCAACAUGUCAAUGUCAUAUAUUUCAAAUAUCAGUUGUAUCUCUUUCAUUAGUAUUUAUACCUUUUUACAGCACUGAAUUCACUAGAAACCUAGAUCCUUUUAUUACCGUACUGCAGCUCUUAAAGUCUUACUUUUAUAUAUGCUCAGGUCCUUCAACAUUAUUAUAUUUCUGUUGCCGUAUUCCUUCCAUCCAGUAGACACAGGUGCAGUGUUUUUAAUCAGUGUUUACCAUUGCAGCACCCGUAAAAAAACCACUAAUUAUGCAUAUAAAAAUAUCUGAUUAAGAAUUACAGAAAACUUGUCUUUUACAAAACGUAAUUUUGUGAGUGAGUGAUUAAAGUGAAGAUAUUAUUAGCUGUGUGAGAAAAUAUUUAUAUUUCUAUUUCAUGUGAGUAUUCUCAUCCUAUUGUAAUUUCCAAAUGAUAAGGCAUAGGACUUCCAUUGCUGCCAUUAAUGAUUUACCUGUUUUAAACUGAAAAACUAUGACUGCUUCAUUUGUUAGAUUACAUAGGUGCAACAUCUGUGGCCAGUCUGUCUGCAUAAAUGAAAUAUAUUUUCUGAUAUUAUGUCAUAUUUUGCCUUCAUAACUGAAGCUGAAUGAAAGACAGAAAACGGCCCCAAUGCCUCCAAGCUUUGGAGCAUACAAACAGAUUGAGAAGGGUAUCAUCUGCACGUGUUACUGCAGCAGCCUUCUCUUUGUUUUCAAACUCAACUCGGAUUCAUUCCAAAAUAUCCAAGUCCAAACCUAAUUUCUGGCACGACCUGCAGGAUCAAAUAUGUCUCCUUGGCAUUCACUUGCUAUGAGAAAGCCUCAAAAGGACAAUGAAUGACAGCCAAACUGAUUAUCAGUUUCAGUGACUGAAGGUCAGCAAGUGUAACAUCUGCCUUGCUGGUGCUUGCCUACAUAUUCAUGUGCAACUUUCUGCUCAUCCAGAGGUCACAAAAACUCACAGAAUGAACAAGAUCCCAGAGGAUACCUCUGUUUCCUUAGACACAGUGACAGAUUUUUCUCUUACAUUUGGGUAAGGGAAUUUUUGGUAAAUAUGACUGACAGAAGUAGCUGCAUGGGUCAAAAUCACCCCUUGGAUAUUUUUAAAAUUUGAUUAUACAAAGAUCAGGAAGAGAAGAAUGGCCAACAAGGCACAGGAAUAUUUAUUCUAUCCUUUACAGUAUAUGCUGACUCAUUAAGCUAAGGAAAAAGUGCUGAUAUUUUCACAGAACCUUUCCCAUUGAACAAAAACAAACAAAUGAAAAAAAAAUGCUGUCUCAUCAUGUAAUGUAAAUUAAUAUAACUCUGAUUAACUUUGAGUAUCUGUCCAUCAGUCUAUAUAAAAUCACGUCUUCAGAAUGUCAGCCAUGCAGUUGGGUGAGUAAUGUCCAAAAUAAAUCUGAAAUGCUAUUGAAAGUGCACUGUUUCUUCUCCCACGAUAUAGGGGAGUGAUCUUGUCAUACCAUGAACAACUUUAAAAAAUGCUCAUGAAGUGCAAAUUAUUUUUUUAAUCAAAUAUUACACUAUUUGGAUGAGUCCAGUGCUAAAUUUUAAAUCCUGAAAGGAUAACUAAGGGUUCAGAGAUAACAACAUCUACAGAGGUCAGAUUCAUUGCUCUGGAAAUCUGGAACCUUGGGAGUUGUAGGAAUAAAAUCAUAGAAAGAAGGAAAGAAAGAAGGAAGGAAGGAAGGAAGGAAGGAAGGAAGGAAGGAAGGAAGGAAGGAAGGAAGGAAGGAAGGAAGGAAGGAAGGAAGGAAGGAAGGAAGGAAGGAAGGAAGGAAGGAAGGAAGGAAGGAAGGAAGGAAGGAAGGAAGGAAGGAAGGAAGGAAGGAAGGAAGGAAGGAAGGAACAACAGAAUUAGAUAUUUUUGCACCUGACACCCAUUAGAUUUAUGUUUUGAUCAUUUUAGUUUCAAAAAAUAUUUUUUUGUUUGUUUGUUUGGAACAACAUUCUGGAAGUUAUCUAAAGAAUACUCCCUUUCAUAAACCAAAUAGAAAUAACUCAGUGCAUCUGCCUCCAAGUAACCUCAAGUAAAUCAGUUGUCAUGAUACAGGAAACCAGAUGUGAAUUCCAACAUCGUAGCAGUGGAGCUGAAGUGGCUGAGGUGGAACUGCUCUCUAAUGGGUACAUUUUCCAUCAUACAGUUGCAAAACCGUUGCAUACUUGCACAGACUCCUCAGCACCCUAACAGUGACAAAUAUCACCAAGAAAGGUGACCAUUGCAAAGAGCAAAAAAGACUACGGGUUUCUUACUACAUGUAUUCUAACAGUCUUCAUCUUCCUAGAUCUAUUGUUCUCAUUUUUGUUUUUGUUUUCCCAUGUUUUCUCAGUAUUUAUACUAAACAACAAAACUAAGAAAAAAUGUUGAUCAUCAACACAGGAUAUAAAUGUUUAAGACUCUUGAUGUUUAUUCUACAAGCACUGAGACUAAGUCACACUUGUUAACUAAAAUUGAAUGUUUAACAGCUAGAAAAACUUCAUAUUUCAAUUUGACAUUUUAAGUGAAACACAGAAGUACAUGUAAGUGCAAUUAGAGUGUUAUAAAAAAAAAAAAAAAACACCUGUGAAAGGCAGAAACAAAAGAAGGCAUUAGUGUGUAAAGUAAUUCUAGUAGGUAGGUUGGAAAAAUUAGUUUCAUAACGAUGACUUAAUUCAACAUGUGCCUGAGGCAACAGCAAAAAAGGUUAAAUUUCCUUUCUCAAUCAAAUUUUAUAUUCUUGCAGAAGAUGUUAUUUCAUAUUCUUGUGUUAUAUUAAUUAAACACAACAGAACCAGGAGAUAUCAAGACCCGCUAUUAGUACAAGCUGGGGAAUGUAUGGAUGGAGUACAGCCCCUCCGAAAAAGACUUGGGAGUACUGGUGAAAGGAAAACCAGACAUAAGCUAGCAACUUGCUCUUGAAGCCCGGUAUGCCAACUGUAUGCUGGGCUGCAUCAAAAGAAAUGUGGCCAGCAGGUCAAGGGAGGUCAUCCUGCCCCUCUGCUCUACACUGGUGAGACCUCACCUGGAGCUCUGAAUCUAGAUGUGGAGUCCUCAGUACAGGAGAGACACAGAUCUGUUGGAGCAGGUCCAGAGAAGGAUCACAAAAAUAAUCCAAGGGAUGGAACACCCCCACUAUGAGGAUAGGCUGAGAGAGCUGGGACCGUUCAGCCUGGAGAAGAGAAGGCUCCAGGGAGACCUGAUAGCAGCCUUUCAGUACCUAAACGAGAAUUAUAAGAAAGGAGACAGACUAUUUAGCAAGGACUGUUGUGGUAGGACAAGGGGAAAUAGUUUCAAAGUAAAAGAGGGAAGAUUUAAUUUGGACAUAAGGAAGAAAUUUUUUACAAUAAGGUUGGUGAGGCACUCGCACAGGUUGCCUAGAGAGGCAGUGGAUGCCCUUUUCCUGGAGACAUCCAAGGUUGGGCUGGACAGGGCUCUGAGUAAUCUGAUCAAGUUGUAGGUGUCCCUGUUCAUUGCAGGGGAGUUGGACUGGGUGGCCUUUUAUUGUCCCUUCCAGCUCAAAUGGUUCCGUGAUUCUAUGAUUCUAUGAGACACCAGCACAAGGUUAUAUCUCCAUCUGCUGUAGACAGACCACGAAACUCAUUGCAAGAGAUAUUCAUUCCAUAAAAUCAGAGUAUGCAAAACAGAAUUUCUUUUCUUUCUUACCUCAGAUAAUUUCACUCAUAUACUGUACAUCUUCCAAAUGCUCUGACUGAUUUAAACUAUGAACUUAAUACAUUAAACACAGGUGUAGCUCUCCAUUCACAAUGUCCUUGCCACCAUCUGUGUUUUAAGAAAAUUUUAAUUCCAGGCGAAAACAUUUUUGUUCUUCAUUCACAGUAAAUUACUGUAUGAAUAGCAUGAGGGGUGUAUUCCUUUAACCCUUAUCCUUCAAAUAAAUUGAGUAGUUUUUAUUAAUUAUUAAAUACUAUUUGUUAUUAAUGAACAUUCUCUUGUCAUUGUCCUGGACUACACAGUGUUUAUUAGAGGAAAAAAAACCAAACAAACAAAAAAGAAGAACAAAAAAACCAAAACCAAAAACAAACCAACAACCGUCCCCCUCCCCCCCCCCCCCCCAAAAAAAAAACCUACCAUGAUUAACAUGGAUUUAUUUAUUAGGAUAAAUGGAUUUGUUUAUUAGGAUAAAUUCUAAUUAGACCUUAGAUGGCGUGUUCCACUGUUGUAACUGCAUAUAUAAACACAGCAUAAGAGAAAGACAUGUAACAUAAAUAAACUGAAGAAAACAAUUGCCAAGGAAAUUACCAAGUCUCAUUUGAGCACGCUUUUUGUUCUUAUCUAGCCAGAGCCUUGUUCACAUGCUUAACCUGAAACAUUUCAGAGGAACUAGAGAGGUAAAUGGAAAUACACACUUACAUGCUAACAACUCAUGACAGAUGUAGGAUAUGAUGCGAGACUGUGUCUUUGUAUCAGAGGAAUGUAUGUUGUGUCCUCUUCAGAUCUGACUGAAAACUAAUUGAUUUAGUUCUCAGGUUCAUUUCACUGAAUAACAUUUUCAGAAAUAUUGUCUAAUUUUGAUCUUAAGUUAACGUGUGUGAUGAAACACUUCUACUUUGAGCUAAAUAAUGUAUAAGAAAAAGUGACUCUAUGCUAAGUUUCCUAUUAAAUCUAGAAGUCUCUAGUUGAGUCAUUUAUGUGCAGUUCGUGAGGUCAAACAAUUUACUUUCUUAUGGUUAAUUAUAACUUUUGAGGGAAACUAAAAGGCCUUCAUAUUGUGUUUCUGCAAAUAAUUACCAUUAAUGUGAUUAAAUUCAUGUUUAAUACUUAUCUAAAUUAGCUCAUUAGCUUGUAUGGAUGUUUGAAAACCUCCAAAGACUGAAAAAUAUUCAGCUUUCAUUACAUUCUUGAUACUGAUCUCUCAGACUGUGGAUAUCAUAUUCAUUACUCUCUGUAUACAUAGUACUAUAUGGAAUAUCACUUGUUUCAUAGCAAUUAUUAUGCAAAUCCCAAGAUCUACUUGCUUGACACUCCCCAGUGACAAUGAAAUCUUGUUUGGCUUAAAUAAUCAUUUGGGAGCCAUUUACACUGUGACUGACUAUUACAGGUUGUAUAUAGUGGGAACUGUAUUUUCUUACAUUAGAAAGUAAUAUGAAAAAGAAAACAUCAACAGAACAAUAUUUCUGUUUCCCUGCGACUAAAAUACUGGUGCCUAGGUCCUUUUUUUCCUGGAGUUUAAGUUACUAGAUUAAAAGAAAAAAAGAAAAAGCAAUGCCAGAUUGGUCUCUAUUACUCUUGUUAAUGCUACCUAUAUUUCUUGUACUGGGAAGCUUUUCAUGGACUGAUUUCAAUUAUGCUACUCAAAGAGGUAAGCACUUCUCAUAAGAAGUACAUAGCUUUGUUCUUGUUAUCAUUCCUCUUCGCUAAAGAAAGUAGAAGAAAACAGUAAAUGAGAAAUCUUUCGAAGUAUUUUAAUUGAUAAAGCAACUUAUGUCUUACAGAAAACAGUAAAUGCAUAUUUAUACAUUGUUAUAUCAUUUAACUUUUUACAAAGAUGCAUAAAUAUAUACCUAUAUAACAUUACAAUGAUUGAAGAGAUGGAAAACAUUUUCUCUCAAUGCAACAACAUAGUUUUUUUAUUAACUAGAACUCUGAAUAAAAUCUGAUUUUUAUAAUCAGUAGGACCAAAAUCUCAGUUGUCUAUGAGAUUCAUCAUUAAUCCUGAUUUCUUUGGAGCAGUUAGAAUUUUAUUUUAUGUUCAGCUUUUGUAACUCCAUUUCCUGGAAUAUUGAGUACUAUUAAAAAAAAAAAAAAAAAAGUAAAACCUUAAAAUUAUAAGACUUCCUGGCAUUCAUUGAAACCACAAAUUGAGAUUCAAUUAAGUAAAUUCCUGCUGACAAAGCAUCACAACAGGUUAAUAGAGGAAAGCUUUUUGCUCUUACUUCUCCAUAGUCUCAAGAACAUUAACUCCAUUAAUUGUGCUAGAUUAAAACAUACCUGUAAAAAAUAUUCACCAUUCAGAACUGCUGACAUGUUAGUUUAUUAGAUAAGCCUGCAAACUUUUAGCUACAUAUUGUAUGCUCAUUCUCCUCACUAUUUCUAAGAAACAUUUAUUUCAUAAACAAAUUUACUAACUAGUAGACACAUUCUUAUAGUGAAAAGAAUAGUUAAAUCACUUCCUCUCUGCUACCAUUUGCUUCCAAAUUCCAAAAUAUUUUCUUCAGCAUAGAUAUUGUAGGUUGUAUUUUUAUUUAGUAGUGAAUCAUUUCCGACCUUAAAUAAUUAAAAAAGAAAAACAACAACAAAAAAAAAAACACAUGCACACAAAACAAGCAAACAAAAAAACCCAACCCACAACCAUAGUUAAACAAAACAGAUUCUGUGAUCUGGCACUCAUUAUCCUUCCAACCAUUGUAAUUCAAACAUCAUCCAUAUAAACAUAAAAAAAAAUCAACCAGUAUAUUAAUCAUCCAUCUGAAGCAAGCAAUUUGUCUUCCAUAUCUGUAAAUCUCAAAGCCAGGAUCUCUCCCCACUUUUGAUAAACCUUUCUGAAGUGGUCAGUAAAACCAAAGGUGUGUCGCCAGCACUUGACCUAAUUGAGUGGCUCCCCUCUGGCAAUCAGGAACACUCUCUUCUGCUGCUUUGAAAUGCCUCAAUUUAGAUGCAGGGGUUACUUCACGUGUUAGUGGAAUUCAUAGAACCAUAGAAUCACUCUCCACACAAUCCACAGGUUGGAAAAGACAUUAAAGACAAAUCCAACCAUGACCACCCCAUUCUACUCUAACAAACCUCUGCAAAAUCAUGUCUCUGAGCACCACAUCCAAAGAGUUUUUAAACACAUACAGGGAUGGUGACUCUACCACUUCCCUGGGGAGCCUAUUCCAAUGCUUAACAAGCCUUUCUGUAAAGAAGUUUUUCCUAAUAUCCAGCCUAAACUUAUCCUAGUGCAACUUAAGGCCAUUUCCCCUCAUCCUGUCACCUGUCAACAGUGAGAAGUGGCCAACCCUGCUCUCGCUGUAAACACCUUUCAGAUAUUGGAAGAGAGGAAUUAAGUCUCCCCUCAGCCUCCUCUUCCCCAGACUAAACAGCCCCAGUUCCUUCACUCGCUCCUCAUAGGGCACACAAGAAGAUUUAAAAAAAAAAAAUCAAUUUAGUUGAUUUUUUAUUCACACCAAUAAUUUCUUUUUCCCUCCUUUCAAUAUACAUUUUUAUAAAAUGUAAAGGCUAGAAUCUUCUGGUACUUCCCUGAAAAGGAAAAUUUCUAAUCUCAGAAGAAUGUUCCCAAGUAUUAUACCAUUCAUGGGACCCAAGUCUUUCCCUGAGAAUGGAGUCUAUCUGUAUUUUAUUUCGAGGUUUAAUUUUCAUUGUAGGCAGCUAGGCUAUGAUUUUUGCUUCCCCUCUUUUUGCUAUCUGUACAAUCAUGUGUAAAUUAGAAAUACUGCCGAUAUGUUAUUCUUCAAAUAAAUUAUUCCAAGCCAUUCCAUUUGUAUGGUUAUGUAGCCAGGAAAAUGCAUAAAUAAAAGUAAUGUAUUCCAUAAAGUCUAUAAAAUAUAUUGCUCUGACUCAGGGCUGCAGUUAUUUUUGGAUGCAAACAGAAAGACCUGUGUUUCACCCACACAUUGGUCAUGUUUCAUAAUGGCAAGCAAAAGCAUUAUAACACCACAACCCAAGCUCCAGGUGGGAGCCUUCCUCUGCCCUUACCUCCAACCAUAAGGCAUGUGUCCCCUGUGAUUCUCCUGCUGCAGGGGAUCCUGCAGCUCCCUGAGGUUGCCACCUGCUGUGGCUCAACAGGCUACAGACCAGAGUUUCCCACUGUCUCACUCCUUCAGCAUUUUUGCAAGAAGUAGCCUAAUCUUGAUCAUUUCUUGCCUAGAAUCCACUUGUGCCCUCACAUCUAAAUGCACCACACUGGCAAGACUCUGGGAAAGCAGAUUAUACGUUUAUUAGUGCAACACAAUUGAGGUUUCUGCUUCCUAGCCCUGUUUUUAAUCCAGCCCCAAAUCUUACUUCUCAAUCUAGAUCUCCCCAUCAUCUUCU
ensembl:lncRNA